AAUGAACGUUGGCGGCGUGGAUUAGGCAUGCAAGUCGUGCGAGAUCUUGCAGACGGAAGCUUCGGCCGAAGUCUGCAGGUGAAAGCGGCGAAAGGGAGAGUAACGCGUGGAUACCUACCCCCGGGUCUGGGAUAGCGUCGGGAAACUGGCGGUAAUACCAGAUAAUGUCUCCGGACCAAAGGUGUGAUUCCGUCUGGGGAUGGGUCCGCGUCCUAUUAGCUUGUUGGUGGGGUAACGGCCUACCAAGGCGAAGAUGGGUAGCGGGCGUGAGAGCGUGGCCCGUCUCACUGGGACUGAGACACUGCCCAGACACCUACGGGUGGCUGCAGUCGAGAAUCUUCGGCAAUGGGCGCAAGCCUGACCGAGCGACGCCGCGUGCGGGAUGAAGGCCUUCGGGUUGUAAACCGCUGUCAGGAGGGAGGAAAUGCAUAGGGGUACUCUCCUAUGUUUGACCGAUCUCCAAAGGAAGUGCGGGCUAAGUACGUG
rnacentral:rRNA from 1 species